GACGAACGCUGGCGGCGUGCCUAAUACAUGCAAGUAGAACGCUGAAGGAGGAGCUUGCUUCUCCGGAUGAGUUGCGAACGGGUGAGUAACGCGUAGGUAACCUGCCUGGUAGCGGGGGAUAACUAUUGGAAACGAUAGCUAAUACCGCAUAAGAGUAGAUGUCGCAUGACAUUUGCUUAAAAGGUGCAACUGCACCACUACCAGAUGGACCUGCGUUGUAUUAGCUAGUUGGUGGGGUAACGGCUCACCAAGGCAACGAUACAUAGCCGACCUGAGAGGGUGAUCGGCCACACUGGGACUGAGACACGGCCCAGACUCCUACGGGAGGCAGCAGUAGGGAAUCUUCGGCAAUGGACGGAAGUCUGACCGAGCAACGCCGCGUGAGUGAAGAAGGUUUUCGGAUCGUAAAGCUCUGUUGUAAGAGAAGAACGAGUGUGAGAGUGGAAAGUUCACACUGUGACGGUAUCUUACCAGAAAAGGACGGCUAACUACGUG
rnacentral:rRNA from 1 species